rnacentral:lncRNA from 1 species
AGUGGAGGUAGUCCUGGGCCGAGCCUAAGGACCUACAGACUUCAGCAGGUGGCAGGUAGAACCUGGGCCUUCCCUGGGGCCUGGCUCUUGGGCAGAGCUUCAGUUGCAGCAGGGGUCGGCCGGUGGCUGGAUGGAAGGUGUUGUACCCUGGGCAUGGUUGCCAGGCAGGUCGGCGAGGCCUUCCUGAGACAAGAGGAAGCUACAGCGGCAAUCUGGCGGGGGCAGGAUGAACUCUGAUCUACCCUGUGCCCAGGCUCCCUUGCAAUUCUGGCAAAGUGAAUCUGGCUGGAGUCUCAGCUCUGGCAGGGGUCAGCAGGUGGCUGCAUGGAUCAAGGCCCCUCAGAACUCCCGCGCAGGUGGAAGAGGCUGAUCAGGGCAGAGCAGUGAGCUACAGAAGAGGUCAGCCAGUGGUGGGAUGGACCCGGGCUUACCCUGA